rnacentral:misc_RNA from 1 species
GACAGAGGGGGCAAGCGUUGUCCGGACUUACUGGGCGUACAGCGCGCGCAGGUGGCGCGGUAUGUGACCGGUGACAUUCUCCCGCUCAACGGGAGACGGCCCGGUUAGACAGCCGUGCUCGAGACAGGGAGAGGGACGUGGAAUACCCGGUGGAGCGGUGAAAUGCGUAGAGAUCGGGUGGAACACCAGCGGCGAAGGCGGCGUCCUGGCCCUGUUCUGACACUGAGGCGCGACAGCGUGGGGAGCAAACGGG